rnacentral:rRNA from 1 species
AUUGAACGCUGGCGGCAGGCCUAACACACGCAAGUCGAACGCCCCGCAAGGGGAGUGGCGCACGGGUGAGUAACGCGUGGGAAUAUGCCCUUCGGUUCGGAAUAACACAGGGAAACUUGUGCUAAUACCGGAUAAGAUCUACGGAUGAAAGAUUCAUCGCCGAAGGAGUAGCCCGCGUAGGAUUAGCUUGUUGGUGAGGUAACGGCUCACCAAGGCGACGAUCCUUAGCUGGUCUGAGAGGAUGAUCAGCCACACUGGGACUGAGACACGGCCCAGACUCCUACGGGAGGCAGCAGUGGGGAAUAUUGGACAAUGGGCGAAAGCCUGAUCCAGCCAUGCCGCGUGAGUGAUGAAGGCCUUAGGGUUGUAAAGCUCUUUCGCCAGGGAAGAUAAUGACGGUACCUGGAAAAGAAGCCUCGGCUAACUCCGUGCCAGCAGCCGCAGUAACAC